rnacentral:rRNA from 1 species
UACGUAGGGGGCGAGCGUUGUCCGGAUUUAUUGGGCGUAAAGAGCGUGUAGGCGGCCAGGUAGGUCAGCUGUGAAAACUCGAGGCUUAACCUCGAGACGUCGGUUGAAACCAUCUGGCUAGAGUCCGGAAGAGGAGUGUGGAAUUCCCGGUGUAGCGGUGAAAUGCGCAGAUAUCGGGAAGAACACCCGUGGCGAAGGCGACUACCUGGCCUGUUCUUGACGCUGAGGCGCGAAAGCUAGGGGAGCAAACGGG